AAAGUGUGUGCCCAUUUUAAUUGUGUUUUUAGUGUUCUCUGUGGGCUGAAUUCUAUUUUUGGUGUAGGUGAAUAAUUAAGACUAACGUUCUAUAAUUGAACAACAUAGCUGCUCCAUACAGUACUUUUGAAUUAGUAUCAAAUAACUAUAAUUGCAUUUAGGAAUCACGCAUUUAGUAGAACUCACGGCUGGGCAUUUAGUGUAAGAAUUAUGCGUAAUGCAAGUUUUAUUACACACAUUUUACAUUAUAUUAUUUCAAGGCCAUUCUGAAUGAGAUGUAAUGGAAUUGCAUAGCUCAAAAUGUUAACAUUGUAUUUUUACAUUCUGGUCAGCAAUUAGUGGUUAUUAAAAGAUAAUC